UCGAACGAACUAUUUAUAGUUAGUGGCAGACGGGUGAGGAACGCGUGGGAACGUACCCCAAAGUUCGGAAUAACUAUUGGAAACGAUAGCUAAUACCGGAUGUGACCGAGAGGUUAAAGGUUUACCGCUUUGGGAGCGGCCCGCGUUAGAUUAGCUAGUUGGUGGGGUAAAGGCCUACCAAGGCAAUGAUCUAUAGCUGGUCUGAGAGGAUGACCAGCCACACUGGGACUGAGACACGGCCCAGACUCCUACGGGAGGCAGCAGUGGGGAAUAUUGGACAAUGGGGGCAACCCUGAUCCAGCAAUGCCGCGUGAAUGAUGAAGGCCUUAGGGUUGUAAAGUUCUUUUAUUGAUGACGAUAAUGACGGUAAUCAAUGAAUAAGCACCGGCUAACUUCGUGCCAGCAGCCGCGGUAAUACGAAGGGUGCUAGCGUUGUUCGGAAUGACUGGGCGUAAAGGGUGCGUAGGCGGCCAGAAGCGUCUGAUGUGAAAUCCCUGGGCUUAACCUAGGAACUGCAUUGGAUACGGUCUGGCUAGAGUCCGCGAGAGGAAGAUGGAAUUGUGCGUGUAGAGGUGAAAUUCGUAGAUAUGCACAAGAACACCGGUGGCGAAGGCGAUCUUCUGGAGCGGUACUGACGCUAAGGCACGAAAGUGUGGGGAGCAAACAGGAUUAGAUACCCUGGUAGUCCACACUGUAAACGAUGAAUGUUAGAUGUCGGGGAGGUUACUCUUCGGUAUCGCAGCUAACGCAUUAAACAUUCCGCCUGGGGAGUACGAUCGCAAGAUUAAAACUCAAAGGAAUUGACGG
rnacentral:rRNA from 1 species